UUGGAAACAGGGUUUCUUUGUACACAGACUCAGGGACUGUCCUGCCUCUGCCUCUCUAGUUUUGAGAUUAAAGGCGGGUGACAGCAUACCUGCCUCUUAAUUCUUAAUUUUAUUAGGCAUGAUAAUGGUAGUGUGGCUCAGUUAAAACCUGUCCAUGAGCCGGGCAGUGGUGGCACACGCCUUUAAUCCCAGCACUCGGGAGGCAGAGGCAGGCGUAUCUGUGAGUUCAAGGCCAGCCUGGACUACAGAUUUAGUUUCAGCACAGCCAGGGCUACACAGAAAAAUGAGAAAUCUUGUCUUGAAAAACAAACAAACAAAAAACAAAAGGUUGGUGGGAUUUGUCUAUGGUUAAAAACACAGUGUUCUGCAGUUCCAGAGAAUCUGAGUUCAAUUCCCAGCAACCACAUGGCAGCUCACAACCACCUGUAAAGGGAUCUGAUUUCCUCUUCUGGCAUGUAGGUGUACAUGGAGACAGAAUAGUCCUACAUUUAAAUAAUAAAUACAUAAAU
rnacentral:lncRNA from 1 species